UUAGAGGAAGUAAAAGUCGUAACAAGGUUUCCGUAGGUGAACCUGCGGAAGGAUCAUUAUAGAAUAUAUUUCAAAACGGAAUGGGUUUAGAGAGACUGUCGCUGGCUUGGAUUUCAAUUUCGAUUUCAAUGCAUGUGCACGCCUCUCACCCUUUCCCUUUCUGAACUACACACACUAGUGCACCUAUUGUAGAUCCACUCGAAAGAGUGAGAUCUAUGUUUUUCAUCUCAUCACACACAUAGUAUGUCUAGAAUGUCAUUUUAUCUAACAAGACUUUCGGGUCUGUUGAUAAACAAUAUACAACUUUCAGCAACGGAUCUCUUGGCUCUCGCAUCGAUGAAGAACGCAGCGAAUUGCGAUAAGUAAUGUGAAUUGCAGAUUUCCAGUGAAUCAUCGAAUCUUUGAACGCACCUUGCGCUCCUUGGUAUUCCGAGGAGCAUGCCUGUUUGAGUGUCAUCGAAUUCUCAACCAUUCUCUUGAUUAAUCUUCAAGAGAUCAUGGCUUGGAAUUGGGGGUUGCUGGCGAGACUUGUCAGCUCUCCUUAAAUGCAUUAGCGAUGUGUUGGCUAGUCUUUGACGUACACGGCCUUCGAUGUGAUAAUGAUCAUCGUGGCUGGAGCGUCUUUCAGACUAUGCACAUAGAUCAUUGCUUCUAACCUGAAUUGAAUUGAAUUGAAGGAAGAAGUAGGGUGGAGUCCAAAGUCCAAAGUCCAUCAAGCUUAGCUACUAGGCAGUCUUUACUACAAAGGGCUGGCGAACACGAGCAAGAUGAUAAGACAAAAGACAAGCUUGUUCCCCUCCCCGCUCCUUUUCCCCUUCAUAUUCAUACUUCAUACAUUUAGAGACUUGACCUCAAAUCAGGUAGGACUACCCGCUGAACUUAAGCAUAUCA
rnacentral:rRNA from 1 species